rnacentral:rRNA from 1 species
AUUGAACGCUGGCGGCAGGCCUAACACAUGCAAGUCGAGCGGAUGACGGGAGCUUGCUCCUUGAUUCAGCGGCGGACGGGUGAGUAAUGCCUAGGAAUCUGCCUGGUAGUGGGGGACAACGUUUCGAAAGGAACGCUAAUACCGCAUACGUCCUACGGGAGAAAGCAGGGGACCUUCGGGCCUUGCGCUAUCAGAUGAGCCUAGGUCGGAUUAGCUAGUAGGUGAGGUAAUGGCUCACCUAGGCGACGAUCCGUAACUGGUCUGAGAGGACGAUCAGUCAGACUGGAACUGAGACACGGUCCAGACUCCUACGGGAGGCAGCAGUGGGGAAUAUUGGACAAUGGGCGAAAGCCUGAUCCAGCCAUGCCGCGUGUGUGAAGAAGGUCUUCGGAUUGUAAAGCACUUUAAGUUGGGAGGAAGGGCAGUAAGUUAAUACCUUGCUGUUUUGACGUUACCGACAGAAUAAGCACCGGCUAACUCUGUGCCAGCAGCCGCCGCGGUAA